rnacentral:rRNA from 1 species
AGAAUCAACGCUGGCGGCGUGCCUAACACAUGCAAGUCGAACGAGAAAGUGGAGCAAUCCAUGAGUAAAGUGGCGCACGGGUGAGUAACACGUGACUAACCUACCCUUGAGUGGGGGAUAACCUAGAGAAAUCUGGGCUAAUACCGCAUAAUACCUUCGGGUCAAAGGAGCAAUUCGCUUAAGGAGGGGGUCGCGGCCGAUUAGUUAGUUGGCGGGGUAAUGGCCCACCAAGACUAUGAUCGGUAUCCGGCCUGAGAGGGCGCACGGACACACUGGAACUGAAACACGGUCCAGACUCCUACGGGAGGCAGCAGUGGGGAAUUUUGCGCAAUGGGGGAAACCCUGACGCAGCAACGCCGCGUGGAGGAUGAAGUCCCUUGGGGACCGUAAACUCCUUUCGAUCGGGACGAUAAUGACGGUACCGAGAGAAGAAGCCCCGGCUAACUUCGUGCCAGCAGCCGC